rnacentral:rRNA from 1 species
GACGUAGGGCGCGAGCGUUGUCCGGAUUUAUUGGGCGUAAAGAGCUCGUAGGCGGCUUGUCGCGUCGACUGUGAAAUCCCCGCGGCUCAACUGCGGGUCUGCAGUCGAUACGGGCAGGCUAGAGUUCGGUAGGGGAGACUGGAAUUCCUGGUGUAGCGGUGAAAUGUGCAGAUAUCAGGAGGAACACCAGUGGCGAAGGCGGCGAUCUGGGAAGAUACUGACGCUGGAGGUGCGAAAGCGUGGGGAGCAAACAGG